UACGUAGGGCGCAAGCGUUGUCCGGAAUUAUUGGGCGUAAAGAGCUCGUAGGCGGUCUGUCGCGUCGGCUGUGAAAACCCGGGGCUCAACCCCGGGCCUGCAGUCGAUACGGGCAGACUAGAGUGCGGUAGGGGAGACUGGAAUUCCUGGUGUAGCGGUGAAAUGCGCAGAUAUCAGGAGGAACACCGGUGGCGAAGGCGGGUCUCUGGGCCGUAACUGACGCUGAGGAGCGAAAGCGUGGGGAGCGAACAGG
rnacentral:rRNA from 1 species